GUAGUCCCUACCAUUAACUAUGUGUCCUACCCUCAUACACCGAGGUCCCUGUGUCACUCAGUACUCGCUACCGUCACAGUGUGUGUCCUACCCUCGUACACCGAGCUCCCUCUGUCCCUCAGUGAUCCCUUCAUUUCACAGUAUGUGUCCUACACUCGUACACUGAGGUCCCGCUGUCCCUCAUUACUCCCUACCAUCACAGUGUCUGUCCUACCCUCAGACACUGAGAUCCCUCUGUCCCUCAGUACUCCCUACCGUUCACAGUGUGUGCCAUACCCUUGUACACCGAGGACCCUCUUUCCCUCAGUACGCCCUAUCGUCACGUGUCCUACCCUUGUACACCGAGCUCCCUCUGUCCCUCAGUAAUCCCUACAGUUACAGUGUAUCCUUCCCUUGUACACCGAGCUCCCACUGUCCCUCAGUACUCCCUACAGUUCACAGUGUGUGUCCUACCAUUGUACAGCCAGUUCCCUCUGUCACUCAUUACUCCCUACCAUUCACUAUGUCUCCUAGCCUAGUACAUCAAGGUCUCUCUGUCACUCUCUACUCCCUACAGUUCACAGUAUGUGUCCUAUCCUUGUACACAGAGGACCCUCUGUCCCUCAGUACUCCCUACCGUUCACAGUAUGUGUCCUAUCCUCGUACACUGAGCUCCCUCUAUCCCUCAGUGAUCCCUUCAUUUCACAGUAUGUGUCCUGCACUCGUACACUGAGGUACCACUGUCCCUCAGUACUCCCUACCGUUCUCAGUAUGUGCCCUACACUCGUACACUCAGGUCCUACUGUCCCUCAGUACUCCCUACCGUUCACAGUGUAUGUCCUACCCUCGUACACUGAGCUCCCUCUAUCCCUCAAUGAUCCCUUCAUUUCACAGUAUGUGUCCUAUCCUCGUACACUGAGCUCCCUCUAUCCCUCAAUGAUCCCUUCAUUUCACAGUGUGUGUCCUACACUCGUACACUGAGGUCCCUCUGUCCCUCAGUACUCCCUAACAUCACAGUGUGUGUCCUACCCUUGUACACCAAAGUCCCUCUGUCCCUCAUUACUCCCUACCGUUCUCAGGAUGUGUCCUACCCUAGAACACUGAGGUCCCUCUGUCCCUCAGUACGCCCUACCUUCACAGAGUGUGUCCUACCAUUGUAAAGCGAGUUCCCUCUGUCCCUCACUACUCCCUACCGUUCACAGUGUGUGUCCUACCCUCGUACACUGAGGUCACUCUGUCCCUCAACACUCCUGACCAUUCACUAUGUCGCCUAGCCUAGUACACCAAGGUCCCUCAGUUCUCUCUACCGUUCACCGUGUGUCCGACCCUUGAACACUGAGGUCCCUCUGUCCCUCAGUGCUCACUACAUUUCACAGUAUGUGUCCUACCCUCGUACACUGAGGUCCCGCUGUCCCUCAGGACUCCCUACCGUUCACAGUGUGUGUCCUACCCUCAUACACUGAGAUCCCUCUGUCCCUCAGUCCUCCCUACAGUCACAGGGUGUGUCCAACCAUUGCACACCGAGGUCCCUCUGUCCCUCAGUACUCCCUACCAUCACAGUUUGUGUCCUACCCUUGUACACCAAAGUCACUGUGUCCCUCAUUACUCCCUACCGUUCACAGGAUGUGUCCUACCCUCGAACACUGAGGUCCAUCUGUCCCUCAAUACUCCAUACCGUUCACAGUGCAUUUCCUAGCAUUGUACACCGAGGUCCCCCUGUCCCUCAGUACUCCCUACCUUCACAGUGUGUGUCCUGCCAUUGUAGAGCAAGGUCCCUCUGUCCCUCAUUACUCCCAACCACUCAUUAUCUGUCCUACCCGCGCACACUGAGGUCCCUCUGUCCCUCAGUACUCCCUACCGUCACAAUGUGAGUCCAUCCCUUGUACACCGAGGUCCCAAUUUCCCUCAGUACUCCCUACUAUUCAGAUUAUGUGUUCAACCCCCGUACACUGAGGUCCCGCUGUCCCUCAGGACUCCCUACCAUCACAGUGUAUGUCUGACCCUCAUACACUGAGACCCCUCUGUCCCUCAGUCCUCCCUACAGUCACAGGGUGUGUCCAAUUAUUGCACACCGAGGUCCCUCUGUCCCUCAGUACUCCCUACCAUUCACUAUCUGUCCUAGCUUUAUACACUGAGGUCCCUCUGUCCCUCAGUACGCACUAUCAUCACAAUGUGUCCUACCCUUGAACACCGAGGUCCCUCGGUCCCUCAGUACUCCCUACCAUCACAGGGUGUGUCCUACCCUUCUACACCAAAGUCCCUCUGUCCCUCAUGACUCCCUACCGUUCACAGGAUGUGUCCUACCCUAGAACACUGAGGUCCCUCUGUCCCUCAGUACUCCCUACCAUCACAGCGUGUGUCCUACCAUUGUACAGCGAGUUCCCUCAGUCCCUCAUUACUCCCUACCAUUUACUAUGUGUCCUACCCUUGUACAAUGAGGUCCCCCUGUCCCUCAGUACUUUCUCCCCUCACAGUGUGUGUCCUACCCUUGUACACAGAGGUCCCUCUGUACCUCAGUAUUCCCUACCGUUCACAGUGUGUGUUCCACCCUUUUAUACCAAAGCCCUCUGUCCCUCAGUACUCCCUACCGUUGACAGUGUGGCCUACCCUCAUACACUGAGAUCCCACUGUCCCUCAUUACUCCCUAGCGUUCACAGUGUGUGACCUACACUUCUACACCGAGGUCCCUCUGUCCCUCAUUACUCCCUACCAUUCAGUAUCUGUCCUACCCUCGUACACCGUCCCUCUGUCCCUCAGUAUUCGCUACCGUCACAGCGUGUGUCCUACCCUCGUACACUGAGGUCCCUCUGUCCCUCAACACUCCCUACCAUUCACUAUCUGUUCUAGCUUUAUACACUGAGGUCCCUCUGUCGCUCAGUACGCACUAUCGUCACAAUGUGUCCUACGCUUGAACACCGAGGUCCCUCGGUCCCUCAGUAUUCCCUACCGUUCACUGUGUGUGUACUACCCUUGUACACCAAAGUCCCUCUGUCCCUCAUUACUCCCUACCGUUCACAGGAUGUGUCCUACCCUCGAACACGGAGGUCCAUCUGUCCCUCAAUACUCAGUACCGUUCACUGUGCGUUUCCUAGCCUUGUACACCGAGGUCCACCUGUCCCUCAGUACUCACUACCUUCACAGUGUGAGUCCUGCCAUUGUAAAGCAAGUUCCCUCUGUCCCUCAUUACUCCGUACCACUCAUUAUCUGUCCUACCCGUGCACACUGAGGUCCCUCUGUCCCUCAGUGCUCCCUACCGUCACAAUGUGAGUCCAUCCCUUGUACACCAAGGUCCCUCAGUACGCCCUACCAUUCACAGUGUUUCCUACCCUUGUACACCGAGGUCCCUCUGUCCCUCAGUAAUCCCUCCCGUUCACAGUAUGUGUCCUACCCUUGUACACCGAGGUCCCAAUUUCCCUCAGUACUCCCUACUAUUCAGAUUAUGUGUUCUACCCCCUACACUGAGGUCCCUCUAUCCCUCUCUACUCCCUCCCGUUCACAGUGUGUGUCCUACCCUCACACACCGAGGUCCCUCUGUCCCAUAUUACUCCCUACCAUUCACUAUCUGUCCUAGCUUUAUACACUGAGGUCCUUCUGUCCCUCAGUACUCCCUGCCGUUCACAGUGUGUGUCCUACCCUUGUACACCGAGCUCUCUCUGUCCCUCAGUACUCCCUACCGUUCACAUUGUGUGUCCUACCCCUGUACACCGAGGUCCCCCUGUCCCUCAGUACUCCCUACCGUUCACAGUGUGUAUCCUACCCUUGUACACCGAGCUCCCUCUGUCCCUCGGUGCUCUCUACAUUUCACAGUAUGUGUCCUACACUCGUACACUGAGGUCCCGCUUUCCCUCAGGAGUCACUACCAUCACAGUGUAUGUCCUACCCUCAUACACUGAGAUCCCUCUGUCCCUCAGUCCUCCCUACAGUCACAGAGUGUGUCCAACCAUUGCACACCGAGGUUCCUCUGUCCCUCAUUACUCCCUACCAUUCACUAUCUGUCCUAGCUUUGUACACUGAGGUCCCUCUGUCCCUCAGUACUCCCUACCGUUCACAGUAUAUGCCCUACACUCGUACACAGAGGUCCCACUGUCCCUCAGUACCCCCUACCUUCACAGUGUGUCCUACCAUUGUAAAGUGAGUUCCCUCUGUCCCUCAUUACUCCCAACCAUUCACGAUCUGUCCGACACUCGUACACCGAGGUCCCUCUGUCCCUCAGUACUCCCUACCAUCACAGGGUGUGUCCUACCCUUCUACACCAAAGUCCCUCUGUCCCUCAUGACUCCCUACCGUUCACAGGAUGUGUCCUACCCUAGAACACUGGUCCCUCUGUCCCUCAGUACUCCCUACCGUCACAGCGUGUGUCCUACCAUUGUACAGCGAGUUCCCUCAGUCCCUCAUUACUCCCUACCAUUUACUAUGUGUCCUACCCUUGUACAAUGAGGUCCCCCUGUCCCUCAGUACUUUCUCCCCUCACAGUGUGUGUCCUACCCUUGUACACAGAGGUCCCUCUGUCCUUUCGUACUCCCUACCGUUCACAGUGUGUGUUCCACCCUUGUAUACCAAAGCCCUCUGUCCCUCAGUACUCCCUACCGUUGACAGUGUGGCCUACCCUCAUACACUGAGAUCCCACUGUCCCUCAUUACUCCCUAGCGUUCACAGUGUGUGACCUACACUUCUACACCGAGGUCCCUCUGUCCCUCAUUACUCCCUACCAUUCAGUAUCUGUCCUACCCUCGUACACCGUCCCUCUGUCCCUCAUUACUCCCUACCAUUCAGUAUCUGUCCUACCCUCGUACACCGUCCCUCUGUCCCUCAGUAUUCGCUACCGUCACAGUGUGUGUCCUACCCUCGUACACUGAGGUCCCCCUGUCCCUCAACACUCCCUACCAUUCACUAUGUCACUUAGCCUAGUACACCAAGGUCCCUCUGUCCCUCAACACUCCCUACCAUUCACUAUGUCACUUAGCCUAGUACACCGAGGUCCCUCUGUCCCUCAGUUCUCUCUACCGUUCACCGUGUGUCCGACCCUUGAACACCGAGGUCCCUCUGUCCCUCAGUGCUCACUACAUUUCACAGUAUGUGUCCUACCCUCGUACACUGAGGUCCCGCAGUCCCUCAGGACUCCCUACCAUCACAGUGUAUGUCUGACCCUCAUACACUGAGACCCCUCUGUCCCUCAGUCCUCCCUACACUCACAGGGUGUGUCCAAUUAUUGCAGAAAUGAGGUCCCUCUGUCCCUCAGUACUCCCUACCAUUCACUAUCUGUUCUCGCUUUAUACACUGAGGUCCCUCUGUCGCUCAGUACACACUAUCGUCACAAUGUGUCCUACGCUUGAACACCGAGGUCCCUCGGUCCCUCAGUAUUCCCUACCGUUCACUGUGUGUGUACUACCCUUGUACACCAAAGUCCCUCUGUCCCUCAUUACUCCCUACCGUUCACAGGAUGUGUCCUACCCUCGAACACGGAGGUCCAUCUGUCCCUCAGUACUCCGUACCGUUCACUGUGCGUUUCCUAGCCUUGUACACCGAGGUCCCCCUGUCCCUCAGUACUCACUACCUUCACAGUGUGUGUCCUGCCAUUGUAAAGCAAGUUCCCUCUGUCCCUCAUUACUCCGUACCACUCAUUAUCUGUCCUACCCGCGCACACUGAGGUCCCUCUGUCCCUCAGUACUCCCUACCGUCACAAUGUGAGUCCAUCCCUUGUACACCAAGGUCCCAAUUUCCCUCAGUACUCCCUACUAUUCAGAUUAUGUGUUCUACCCCC